ACGGAAGGCAGCAGUGGGGAAUAUUGCACAAUGGGGGAAACCCUGAUGCAGCGACGCCGCGUGAGUGAAGAAGUUAUUCGUAAUGUAAAGCUCUAUCAGCAGGGAAGAAAAUGACGGUACCUGACUAAGAAGCCCCGGCUAACUACGUGCCAGCAGCCGCGGUAAUACGUAGGUGGCAAGCGUUGUCCGGAUUUACUGGGUGUAAAGGGUGCGCAGGCGGGACUGCAAGUUGAAUGUGAAAUACCGGGGCUCAACCCCGGAACCGCAUCCAAAACUGUAGUUCUUGAGUGGAGUAGAGGUAAGCGGAAUUCCGAGUGUAGCGGUGAAAUGCGUAGAUAUUCGGAGGAACACCAGUGGCGAAGGCGGCUUACUGGGCUCUAACUGACGCUGAGGCACGAAAGCAUGGGUAGCAAACAGGAUUAGAUACCCUGGUA
rnacentral:rRNA from 1 species